ACUCAUUUGAUCUUACUUAACUUUUUUCAGCAUCCCGUAAGGGGGGCACAGCAGUUUUCUCUGACAUCACCCAAGACAUCAUAGGUAUAUCAGAUUUUAAGAUUAUCAUAUGUCUUUCAGUUAUUGGGGCAGUUUCAAUUAAUGCCCCAAAAAUAGCAGCACAACAACACAAUUUACAAAUAUUUAAUAUCUUCUGAAAAGCAUUUCUAAGUUAAGAAUGAAAAAGUAUGUACAUGGGAGGCUGAGACAGGCAGAUCACCUGAGGUCAGGAGUUUGAGACUAGCCUGGCCAACAUGGUCAAUCUCCAUCUCUACUAAAACUACAAUAAUUAGCCAGGCGUGGUGACCAGGUGGGUAAAGCUAGUAAAGUUAUGGCCAGCAAGUACAGCCAGGUUGAUAACUCCAACUGUGUAAGCCUUGUUGCGGGAAGUCAGUGACCCC
rnacentral:lncRNA from 1 species